rnacentral:lncRNA from 1 species
GGCACACACCCACACAUCAUAUGUAUGUGUCGCCAGGAGAUCAAGAGAAGAAGGGGAAACCCUUUCUACUUCUAAAAUUCAGCAAUUAAAGGAAGAAAUUGAAGCUAAUCACCUGCAUGUUCACCCCAACCUAACCAUCUUAGCAUUCUUAACAUAAGGGAUUAAAGAAGAAAGCUCAAGUCAUUCCGGAACGCAAACAAACCACAACAAAGGUAAAGGAACUUGUUAGCGGCGCUACUUGGAUCGAACACACUCAUGAUGCACGCUUCCGCGAAGAUCCUAGUUUGGUUUAAAUUUUUUUUUUUGGGUUAAACGUUUUUGUUAAAACGGGUCUUUUGUAUGUAAGUUAACCCGGUAGUGGUUAGAUGUUAACUUGUAGUUAAAGACUGGGUUAAUAACUUGUAAAACAUGUAUGAAUUUUGCUUAUAA